rnacentral:rRNA from 1 species
UCUUCUUCGGAAGACAGGUUAGUGGCGCACGGGUGCGUAACGCGUAUGCAACCUACCUUCCACUGGGGGAUAGCCUUCCGAAAGGAAGAUUAAUACCGCAUAUGAUCACACAAGGGCAUCCGCGGGUGAUGAAAGCUGAGGCGGUGGAAGAUGGGCAUGCGUGCCAUUAGCUAGUUGGUAGGGUAACGGCCUACCAAGGCGACGAUGGCUAGGGGUUCUGAGAGGAUGGUCCCCCACACUGGUACUGAGACACGGACCAGACUCCUACGGGAGGCAGCAGUAGGGAAUAUUGGGCAAUGGCCGAGAGGCUGACCCAGCCAUGCCGCGUGCAGGAAGAAGGCCUUCUGGGUUGUAAACUGCUUUUAUCUAGGAAGAAAACGCUCUUGCGAGAGUAACUGACGGUACUAGAUGAAUAAGCACCGGCUAACUCCGUGCCAGCAGCCGCGGUAAUACGGAGGGUGCAAGCGUUGUCCGGAUUUAUUGGGUUUAAAGGGUGCGUAGGCGGCCUGUUAAGUCAGCGGUGAAAUCCCAGGGCUCAACCCUGGAACUGCCGUUGAUACUGGCAGGCUUGAGUUCGGUCGAGGCGGGCGGAACUGGUGGUGUAGCGGUGAAAUGCAUAGAUACCACC